rnacentral:ribozyme from 1 species
UUUUUUUUUUUUUUUUUUUUUUUUUUUUUUUUUUUUUCUUC